UGCUUCGUACACAUUUAAUGUCUUGAGAAUCACAGAAUACACCAUAAUAUUAUGCUUCUCAAGUCCAAUUAUUAAUCACACAUAGCUGAAACCCUCCGGCUCUUCUAGAAAUCUCCAAGACAUUGUCUCGCCCCAUUAAGCAUGACAUUUGAACCCCCGUCGGGCAUCCUUUUCAGUAUCAUUUCAAUAUAGCAUUCCCAUGAACGGCAUCCAGAAACCUCCGGGCAUCACGCUACAACGUUUCUCAAUGGUGGCAUCAUCCCCCAAAAUCUUCGAUGAUGGAAUCCCUUGUGUGAUCAUACGAAUCAAGUAUACAACCAGUUUUAUCUUUCAUAUUAGUCCAAUGUAUGAAUGCCCCAAGGGCGUGUAGAGCAAUGUGCAACUCAUGACCUAUCAAAAAUGUGUCAAUAAAAUAUGUUGAGCAUGAAAGUAGAAUCGUGGCUUGACCCAUUACGUUUGAGCACCGGCUUGGGUCAAACUUAGAUCAGACGAUACGCCUCAAUAUCACCGGACCAAGAGAGUGAUUUAGCCCAGCGGACUUCCAUGCACAUCUAAGAACCAAGGCUGUUCUAACUUUGAAGGCUUGAUGUGAAUUUCAAGCAUCAAUCAUGACCUGUGGACUUCUAUAUGCGAAGACCACAUCCAUAUUGCAAUGGUAAUCCUUGAAGAUCAAAUCUAAUACUAACACAAAUGGACGAUUUGACCACAAUAGUCAUGACGUAUGAUAAACCACAUCGCAUAACACUUAUACAAUCAAUCAUAAUUGAAGAUGAAGCCUAGGUGUCGAUAACAAAAGGUCCACAAGCAACAACCAUGGUGAUUUUCUUAACACAAGCAAUAACCUAAGCCUAAAUGAACUAUUUCUUCAAAUCAUGCCAACACGAACAACCUCGAUGAUCCCAUACUCACUCCUUGCUCGUCCUUGAGCAUAUAAGGAACAAACCAUACAAAAUUAGUCACAUUAGCUCCUUUACAUAGGAUAGCUCUAAGAACACUAUAACCAAACCUAUAUCCGAUUUAUGUAACGCAAUGGCCUAGCCGAUAUUUAGGAAAUCUACUUACAAACAAUUGAGAUGCAAAAAAUCCGAACGACAGAAGGAUGGCAGCUCAAUAGCACGGCAGCGAUGAUAGCAGGGGGCGGGGAUGACAAGCAAGUGGCGGCAUGUAGCAGUAGGUGGAUGGAUGAGUGGAUGAUGGGAAGUGCAGCGGUGGACGGCUAAGGAGGGAAAGGAAGAGGGAGAGAAUAAAAAGGGAGAGAGAGAGAGGGGAGGGUUAGUCGAAUGGGC
rnacentral:lncRNA from 1 species